rnacentral:rRNA from 1 species
AUGGGGCUUCUCAAGGAUAUGAGGGCUCUCCUGUUGGUGGCCAUUGUGGUGACCGCUAUGGUCAUGUCAUCAUGCCAUGCUGCACAAGAUAUUGCUGCUGAAGGGCCUUCGGGUUCAGGGGAGUGCAACCAGAUCCUGCCGUGCACGGACAAUACGUGCAAAAUCAACUGCCAGAAGCUGGGGUUCAAGAACCCCAAGACUCAAUGCAGGCCUGGGAACCCGAAGAAAGGCCAGUUCUACGACACCUGCUGCUGUUUUUAG